rnacentral:lncRNA from 1 species
CCGUAACACAAAAUGCAACCAAAUUACUUGAUCCAUGAUAUUAUUCACAAUCAUAGGUGCAUCCAAUAAUGACGUAAGGUGCAGAGAAGAAUAUAACAAAAUUUGAAUUAAAAACUUUAAUUAAAACUUAAUAAAACCAUUAAUAAAAUAAAUUUAACAUAAUGAGUCGUUCCAAACGGCUCCACGAUUUCAGCCCCUUUCACAUUUCUCAUGAAACCCUAAUCUAGAAAACUGAACCUCCACGCAAUGAACCAGCUGACGCCUUAAGGAUCGGCGUGACCAGAGUUCUGUCGGUGGUGGUGCGCGACGGAGUAGAAUCACGACAGCUCUCCCUGUCAUAACCAUCGCAGCCACCGACGACACACCCUAAGCCACGAACCACCGUGCGCCAGCUACGAACCACCGCGCGGCCAACUCCGUACUGCAGGCAUUAUCAGCGACGGAGAUGGACGAGCGGCAACGGAUGGCUUGCGAUUCCGCUAAUGGGUUCAUAGGAUAUUAAUGUGUUAAUGGCGUUGGGUGCAUAAUGAAAACUUUGAUCCAUAAACCCUAAUUUUAAAAUUAGGAUUCUUCAAUUGGGAUUAAUUAAAUUGGGAAUGGUUCUUAAUAUUAUGGAAAAAUAUUAAUGGAGAAUCACAAAAUGAGCAUCAAGGGUCUGAUACCACAUGUAAAAUUAAACAUGAUUAUGAACGCAUACAUUCAUGUUCACAUAUAGAUCUUAUCACAAUAAGUGAUCCUACUUUAGCAGUUACUUUAUUAUCAAAUAUAUAUUUUU